UAACUUUAUCUCACAGUGCAGCUGCCUCCUGUGAUUCCAAAUGUCACCAACUUUGGGGAGAGUUCUGAAAGGGAAUGUGCUCAGUGUGUCUUCGGCCGCCUUUAUUAAUGGAACCAGAGAGGGAACAACUGGAGACAAAUGGUUCUGCUUGGUGCAUGGGAAAUACUGAUGCUGCUAUUUCAUCCUGCAGAUAUUAUUGGCUGGAUUGGAAGUGUUCCAAGCUGGGUACCAGUUUAACUUAGUGUAUUCACAUGUCUGGGGGAAGCUGGUAGCCUUGUCUGCAAAUUUGGUGGCCCAGGGCAACAAGAGGAGACAAUUCUCUGCACCAGUUCCACUGCCCAGGCCUGAGCAUGUCCAACCCCAGCAUUUUGCAUUGGCUGCAUUCCAUGAAAACCUUCUGUUGCACCCUGCCAGCUGCUGCUGCUCCUGACACUGCUGCCCCACAUUCUGGGAGGCAUUCCCACCCCUCACUCAGGGUGCUGAUGGCUGAAGAAACAUGCUCAGCUUUUUUGGGA